UACGUAGGGUGCGAGCGUUGUCCGGAAUUAUUGGGCGUAAGGGCUCGUAGGCGGUUUGUCGCGUCGGGAGUGAAAAUCCAGGGCUUAACUCUGGACUGGCUUCCGAUACGGGCAGACUAGAGGUAUGCAGGGGAGAACGGAAUUCCUGGUGUAGCGGUGAAAUGCGCAGAUAUCAGGAGGAACACCAAUGGCGAAGGCAGCUCACUGGGACGGUAUUGACGCUGAGACGCGAAAGCGUGGGGAGCAAACAGG
rnacentral:rRNA from 1 species